GGGAAUAUUGGACAAUGGGCGAAAGCCUGAUCCAGCAAUGCCGCGUGAGUGAUGAAGGCCUUAGGGUUGUAAAGCUCUUUUACCCGGGAUGAUAAUGACAGUACCGGGAGAAUCAGCCCCGGCUACCUCCGUGCCAGCAGCCGCGGUAAUACGGAGGGGGCUAGCGUUGUUCGGAAUUACUGGGCGUAAAGCGUACGUAGGCGGCUUUGUAAGUUGGAGGUGAAAGCCCGGGGCUUAACCCCGGAAUUGCCUUUAAGACUGCAUCGCUUGAAUCAUGGAGAGGUGAGUGGAAUUCCGAGUGUAGAGGUGAAAUUCGUAGAUAUUCGGAAGAACACCAGUGGCGAAGGCGACUCACUGGACAUGUAUUGACGCUGAGGUACGAAAGCGUGGGGAGCAAAC
rnacentral:rRNA from 1 species